AACCCCGCUUAGCAGCGUGCAGGCCUCCCUGUGAACCAGAGAGCUUUCUGGGCCACAGAAUUGGCCAAGGGCAGCAGAAAAGCAGGGCAGAAAGAAGAUGCAUUUCAAAGGAGGGUCAAGAAUUUGCUGCUCAGGAAAUAUUUCUGGAAGAGUUCAAUGGGGCGUCCUGUGGAAUGUCAACCAUUCCAAAUUCAAGAGGAAGGAAGAACAUUCCCACCCCCUGGAAGGAAACGCCGUACCCCUGGGCCGUCGCCCCCGCCCUCCUCUCACAGACGGGGCAGCCCUGUGUCAGCCCUCCGUCUCUGUAGAUCUGCCUGGUGCGGACAUUCCCUGUGGACGGAACCCAGAGAAUGCUUUGUUCGUUUCCGGGGACAGCUGUGCCGGUGGACGUGUCUCCCCGUGGCUCGGCCCCGCAUGUCCCUGGUGGAGGUGGACCGCCUUCCCGUGUGCUCGCUGGCCAUCCGUGGGUCUUCUCUGGAGAAGUCUGUUCAGAUCCUUCGCUUGUGUUCCCAUCGGAUGACUGGUUUUUUGUUGUCAUGAUGUAGACAUCAGACUCUUAUCAGAUACAAGUGGUUUGUCCCAUU